rnacentral:lncRNA from 1 species
GGGAGAGGGGUAACAAAUACAAAAAAAAAAAAGUUAUUCUUGGGUUCACCCCCUAGAGUGAACUUCUAGGUUCACCAACCAAUAUGAUUUUAUUAUUUCAAAUUCGAUAUUUGUUAAAAAAGGAAAUAAAAUAUUGUCAAGUUAUAUUAUGCUUUUAAAAUAAAAAGGUAAAAAAAAAUAGUUACAAAAAAAAGAAGUUUUUAAAAAAAAUACUGUUAACGUCGCCAGCAAAACACUAAACUCUAAAUCCUAAUCCCUAAACCCUAAAUCUGAAACCCUAAACCUUUGGGUAAACCCUAAACCCUUGGGUAAACCCUAAAUCCUUGGAUAAAUCAUAAAUUCUAAAUCAAAAACACUAAACACUAAAAUCCUAAACCCUUGAGUGUUUUAGUGUUUAGUGUUUUUGAUUUAGAGUUUAUGAUUUAUCCAAGGGUUUAGGGUUUCAGAUUUAGGGUUUAGGAAUUAGGAUUUAGGGUUUACUUUUUUCCUGACGACGUUAAAAAUAUUUUUUUGUAAUUACUACUAUUUUUAUUUUUUAUUUUUUAUCUUUUUAUUUUAAAAACAUAAUAUAACUUGACAAUAUUUUGUUUCUUUUUUUAAAAGAUAUUGAAUCUGAAAUAAUGAAAUUCUAUUGGUUGGUGAACCUAGAAAUUCACCCUAGGGAAUGAACCCAAGAAUAAGUCAAAAUAAAAUCGCUAUUAAAGCAAGACAUCUUCCAAAAAUAUAAAAAAAAUAAAAAAAAGCAAGUCAUCUCAAAUAAAUAAAACCGCUGGAUACAUGUUUAGUAAGUCAAACAAAUCAUAGUGAUGUGGCAACUGUUUUUUCCUCAACUUUCCUCAAUUUAAUUUGCUAGCAAUUUCUACUCAAUUCAAUUCUAAGCUACUACCCAU